rnacentral:lncRNA from 1 species
ACUGCUAUAACAUGCCAUAGGGCGAUAGCUCUGAGCUGCACUGCAGGUCAUCCCGCUCUUGGCGUGGUGCCGUGCUGGCAGCGGGCUAGCCUGGGACUCCGGCACCAUGUCAACUUUUAACAAGAAUGCUUUUGCUUCUCGGUUCAUGUCUACUGUAUAGGAUGUUGCUUCUUUUCUGAUGUGUGUCCCAAUGAUAUACUGAUGGCAGAUCUGUUCUUAGUCAGGAGUCAGUCUGAUACCUUGAACUGACUUGCAGAAAAAUAACCACACAUAUGAAGGAGCAUAAAAACUGCCCAGGUGAAACUGUACUGCAGUUCUAAAAGCC